CGAAGUCGGAUGCUCAACCGAGUCACCCAGGCACCCCAAGAAUGUGUAUUUUAAAUUUGAAGUUUUAUCGCUUGGGCGUCAGGUGCUUAGGAUGGUCCGGGCGUGAAUUUUACCCCGUUUGCUAAUCACCAUCGCAGAGGCCAGCACGACUCUAAGACCGCCUAUUUAUACGGUGACGGCCUAAGUGAGGGCACAAGGUAAGCCUCCCGGGACGCAAUUAUUCCACAGGACCCGGUGUGCAUUCUAAGUGGGAAACGAGGACACGUCACCUCCGAUUCAUUCAAGGCAGAGCAGGAUAGUUUCCAAUUCUGGAUUCGAGAGAAAAAUGAUGUUCUCGCUCUGGUUCUUGGCAGAAAAUAAAGUGGAUGAAGACCUUGA